UGCACCCGGGAACGAGCCGUGAUCGUCGUUCUGGCUUUGAGCCGCGGGUGACCUCAUGGGACGUCGUGCACGCCAGCCCUGGAGUCGUUUGGCGCGAUCCUGCUGCUCGGGAGACGGAGCCCGGUUACGGAGUCGCGCAAGCAUCGGAGUUUGCAGCGGUGACGUCCUCGUCUGGAAAUGAGCUCCGGUCGGACCGACUCCUCCCUGCUCCCGCUGUGAAUCCCCGUAGUACUCUGCACGCCCCGCUGUAGUACGCGGUGUGCUGCGGUGUCUUCAGGUCUUCGACGUUCAGUUGGCUUCUCAUUCAUGCCGACGUUCUUGCCUCCAUUCAGCAACUGUUGGUUGCUGGUGUUUCCUACGCCCGCCGCGCGAGGCGCUGAGUACGAAGCAGAGAAUAAAAGAGACGAGAUACUUUGUUCCCACGGAGCCAGAAUGUCAGGAGCAGACAGGAGUCUCACACAUCAUAUGUGCUUUCACCAUGAAGAUAAGGAAACUAUUUGCCAACCCUCAUUUAAUCCGAAAGUAGACUCUGUGUGAUUUUUUGAAAAUUUAUUUAUUUGUGAGAGACAGAAGGAGGCAGAGACACACAGGCAGAGAGAGAAGCAGGCUCCAUGCAGGGAGCCUGAUGCAGGACUCGAUCCCAGGACUCCAGGAUCACACCCGGGCCGAAGGCUGGCACUCAACCGCUGAGCCAUCCAGGUGUCCCUGAGCUGCUUCUCUUGAAGAGAUGUAUAUGUCUAUGGCUCAAUGUUAGGUAACUCGAUAAACUGAUAUUAAGACGGUGGGGAGGAGUGAUAUAAUCUCUGUAGUAUAAUAUUAUGUAUAUAAUAUAGUAUAGUAUUAUAUAUACAUAUAUUUUAUGUAUAUACAUAUAAAAUGUGAAGAUAUGAUGAUAAUGUUGAUGAUGAUGGAGAAAAAGCAGAAAAUUCUUGCUAUUCUUUAGAAUUUCCCACCCCAGGGCAUCUUGUAUUUUAAGAUACCAUCCCAUUUGUCAAAGGACAUGCUGUAUGUAGAAAUGCUACUAGAGUUACCUGGGUUGGGCUCCAGAAUCAGCCACCUCCAAUUACAGUAUUUCUUUUUUUUUUUUUUAAUUUCUUUCUUUAUUUAUGAUAGUCACAGAGAGAGACACAGAGAGAGAGAGAGGCAGAGACACAGGCAGAGGGAGAAGCAGGCUCCAUGUACCAGGAGCCUGAUGUGGGAUUCGAUCCCAGGUCUCCAGGAUCACACCCUGGGCCAAAGGCAGGCGCCAAACCGCUGGGCCACCCAGGGAUCUCUCCAAUUACAGUAUUUCUUAACUAGUCGGUAAACUUUCCAGGAAUGGUAUUGCAUUUAUCCAAGGAAACAAAGGAGUACAUGGCAGUUAGCUUCUUUGGAGGGCCCUCAGAAAAUGUGAAGCUUGGAGUAAAUAUAGACGGUCCUCAGCUUUAGGUGGUUCUACCCCCUACUGUUUGACAUUUCUAGCAUUCGGUAAUUUCCCAGAUGUUACCACUUUGUGCAUUGAAAGGAAGGCUGAAGACAAAUGAAUUUGUGUCAUUCUUCCACCCUCGAUAAUUGUGUCACUGCACUGCCUUGCUUCUGAGUGUCCCUCAGUGCCCACUGAGUGUUGUUCAAACUGCUUACGUGACAGGGUUUAAGAAAAAAGGUCCUGGCACUGUGUCUGGCACAC
rnacentral:lncRNA from 1 species